UAACGCGUGGGUAACCUGCCUCAUACAGGGGGAUAGCAGCUGGAAACGGCUGAUAAAACCGCAUAAGCGCACAGCAUCGCAUGAUGCAGUGUGAAAAACUCCGGUGGUAUGAGAUGGACCCGCGUCUGAUUAGCUAGUUGGUAAGGUAACGGCUUACCAAGGCGACGAUCAGUAGCCGACCUGAGAGGGUGACCGGCCACAUUGGGACUGAGACACGGCCCAA
rnacentral:rRNA from 1 species